UCGCUUGAACCUGGGAGGCGGAGGUUGCAGGGAGCCAAGCUUGCACCACUGGACCCCAGCCUGGGUGGCAGAGCAAGACUCCAUCUUAAAAAAA